AAAACAAAUGAAAAAAGUUUAGAAAA
rnacentral:sRNA from 1 species